UACGUAGGUGACAAGCGUUAUCCGGAAUUACUGGGCGUAAAGCGCUCGUAGGCGGCGCGGUAAGUCUGAUGUGAAAUCUCCCGGCUUAACUGGGAGGGGUCAUUGGAAACUGCCGGGCUUGAGGCGAUGAGAGGGGUGUAGAAUUCCCGGUGUAGUGGUGGAAUGCGUAGAUAUCGGGAGGAAUACCAGUGGCGAAGGCGGUUCUCUGGGCAUUACCUGACGCUGAGGAGCGAAAGUGUGGGGAGCGAACAGG
rnacentral:rRNA from 1 species